GUUUCCCUUCGGGGCUGGUGCAUCAGGUGCUGCACGGCUGUCGUCAGCUCGUGUCGUGAGAUGUUGGGUUAAGUCCUCUAACGAGCGCAACCCCUAUCCACAGUUGCCAUCAGGUAAUGCUGGGCACUCUGCGGAGACUGCCGGUGACAAACCGGAGGAAGGUGAGGAUGACGUCAAGUCAUCGUGGCCCUUACGUCCCGGGCUGCAAACGUGCUACAAUGGCUGGUACAAAGGGCGGCAAUACCGCGAGGUGGAGCAAAUCCCAAAAAACCAGUCUCAGUUCGGAUUGCAGUCUGCAACUCGACUGCAUGAAGCUGGAAUCGCUAGUAAUCGCGGAUCAGCACGCCGCGGUGAAUACGUUCCCGGGUCUUGUACACACCGCCCGUCAAGUGAUGAAAGCUGGGGGUACCCGACGUCGUUUGCCCAACCGCAUGGAGGGCGGCGCCUAAGGUAAAACUGUAAUUGGCACUAAGUCGUAACAAGGUAGCCGUACUGGAAAG
rnacentral:rRNA from 1 species